UAGGCAAGCUGGCAGGUGGCGGCAUCUUUGGUGAAGCUGGGCUGCAGAUGACAGGAUCAAACAUGGCCUGAGGACCCCAGAGAGAAUCCAACCAGUCCUUUUCAAGUUAUGGAUUUGGAAACUACUUUCUUGUGUGAAGAGGAUUGUCACAUUCUUACAUGGGCUUGGCAGGACAGGAGGAGAUACAGAAGAGCAGGUCCUCUACUUUCUGUGAAUGUCAGUCUUCCCUCUCUAGGUGACUUUGCAGGUAGGAGC